rnacentral:lncRNA from 1 species
GGAAGACUGGCUGGGCCCAAGGAUCCAGCCACUCAUAGCCAGCCUCAAAUCUGGUUAUGAUGGAGAAGUGACCUAGCUCCAAGAUUGUGGCCCAAUGGGAGGAGAGCCGAGCAGAGGACUGCAUGGUGAGGAUGGCACUGGCAGGCAUGCAGCACCCCUCAAGGGAGCCCCCAGAAUGGGACUUCCUGGACAGCCACCCCAUCCACAUGGACUCCCUCCUGUACCCCUCUGGAGCCUGCAUUCCCGCCCUGCAGGAGGGGAUGGUACUAAGGUGAGCUCUGU